ensembl:lncRNA
CCCCACAUUGGGGCGCCCCCCCCACGAUGCGGAGGAUCCUCUCCAUGAGGAAGAAGAGGAACAGCGCUGCCAACACCACCAGCAGCUGCCAUGGCUGCACACGCGUGUGCGCCUCCGCGUGCUCCUCGUGGCCCCCCUCCUCGUGCACGUGCAGCUCUAGGAACUGCCCCGCACACACGCGUGUUAACACGUGUGGGGGGUGUGGGCACGUAUGGGGUCAGACGUGUGGUCGUGUGGGUGGGAAUGGGCACGUGUGGUCAUGCAUGUGGUCAUACGUGUGGUCAUAUGUGUGGGAAUGGGCACAUGUGGUCAUAUGUGUGGUUAUAUGUGUGGUCGUGGGUCAUACGUGUGGUCAUAUGUGUGGAAAUGGGCACAUGUGGGCAUGUAUGGGGUCAUGCCUGUGGUCGUAUGUGUGGCUAAGGUUCAUACAUGUGGUCAUAUGUGAGGCCAUAGGUGUAUGUGGUCAUGUAUGUGGUCAUACGUGUGGUUAUAUGUGUGGUAAUGGGUCAUACAUGUGGUCCUAUGGGUGGUCGUGGGUACGUGUGAUCAUGUAUGCGGUCAUACAUGUGGUUUUAUGUGUGGAAAUGGG